rnacentral:rRNA from 1 species
AUGGGAACGCGAAGAACCUUACCUAGACUUGACAUCUCCUGAAUAGUGCAGAGAUACAUGAAGCCCUUCGGGGCAGGAAGACAGGUGGUGCAUGGUUGUCGUCAGCUCGUGUCGUGAGAUGUUGGGUUAAGUCCCGCAACGAGCGCAACCCUUAUUACUAGUUGUUACCAUUAAGUUGAGCACUCUAGUGAGACUGCCCGGGUUAACCGGGAGGAAGGCGGGGAUGACGUCAAAUCAUCAUGCCCCUUAUGUCUAGGGCAACACACGUGCUACAAUGGUGAGUACAGAUAGAUGCGACACCGCAAGGUGGAGCCAAACUCUAAAACUCAUCCCAGUUCGGAUUGUAGGCUGCAACUCGCCUACAUGAAGUUGGAGUUGCUAGUAAUCGCGAAUCAGAAUGUCGCGGUGAAUACGUUCCCGGGUCUUGUACACACCG